GGAGCUGUGGCUCAGUCAAUGGGCAUCUGCUUUGCAUGCGGAAGGUGCCAGGUUCAAUUCCUAGCACCUCCA
rnacentral:tRNA from 1 species